CGUUGUUCGGAAUUACUGGGCGUAAAGGGCUCGUAGGCGGCCAACUAAGUCGGACGUGAAAUCCCUCAGCUUAACUGGGGAACUGCGUCUGAUACUGGAUGGCUUGGAUUUGGGAGAGGGAUGCGGAAUUCCAGGUGUAGCGGUGAAAUGCGUAGAUAUCUGGAGGAACACCGGUGGCGAAGGCGGCAUCCUGGACCAACAUUGACGCUGAGGAGCGAAAGCCAGGGGAGCAAACGGG
rnacentral:rRNA from 1 species